UACGUAGGGUGCAAGCGUUGUCCGGAAUUAUUGGGCGUAAAGAGCUCGUAGGCGGUUCGUCGCGUCGGCUGUGAAAACCCGGAGCUCAACUCCGGGCCUGCAGUCGAUACGGGCGGACUCGAGUUCGGCAGGGGAGACUGGAAUUCCUGGUGUAGCGGUGAAAUGCGCAGAUAUCAGGAGGAACACCGGUGGCGAAGGCGGGUCUCUGGGCCUUACCUGACGCUGAGACGCGAAAGCGUGGGGAGCGAACAGG
rnacentral:rRNA from 1 species